GAAGAAUAAGCACCGGCUAACUACGUGCCAGCAGCCGCGGUAAUACGUAGGGUGCGAGCGUUAAUCGGAAUUACUGGGCGUAAAGCGUGCGCAGGCGGUUAUGCAAGACAGAUGUGAAAUCCCCGGGCUUAACCUGGGAACUGCAUUUGUGACUGCAUAGCUGGAGUGCGGCAGAGGGGGAUGGAAUUCCGCGUGUAGCAGUGAAAUGCGUAGAUAUGCGGAGGAACACCGAUGGCGAAGGCAAUCUCCUGGGCCUGCACUGACGCUCAUGCACGAAAGCGUGGGGAGCAAACAGGAUUAGAUACCCUGGUAGUCCACGCCCUAAACGAUGUCAACUGGUUGU
rnacentral:rRNA from 1 species